UGGGGAAUAUUGCACAAUGGGCGCAAGCCUGAUGCAGCCAUGCCGCGUGUGUGAAGAAGGCCUUCGGGUUGUAAAGCACUUUCAGCGAGGAGGAAGGUGGUGAGCUUAAUACGCUCAUCAAUUGACGUUACUCGCAGAAGAAGCACCGGCUAACUCCGUGCCAGCAGCCGCGGUAAUACGGAGGGUGCAAGCGUUAAUCGGAAUUACUGGGCGUAAAGCGCACGCAGGCGGUUUGUUAAGUCAGAUGUGAAAUCCCCCGGGCUCAACCUGGGAACUGCAUUUGAAAACUGGCAAGCUAGAGUCUCGUAGAGGGGGGUAGAAUUCCAGGUGUAGCGGUGAAAUGCGUAGAGAUCUGGAGGAAUACCGGUGGCGAAGGCGGCCCCCCUGGACGAAGACUGACGCUCAGGUGCGAAAAGCGUGGGGAGCAAACAGGAUUANAUACCCUGGUAGUCCACGCUGUAAAACGAUGUCGAUUUUGGAGGUUGUGCCCUUGAGGCGUGGCUUCCGGAGCUAACGCGUUAAAUCGACCGCCUGGGGAGUACGGCCNCAAGGUUAAAACUUAAAUGAAUUGCGGGUCUAG
rnacentral:rRNA from 1 species